GAUGAACGCUGGCGGCGUGCCUAAUACAUGCAAGUCGAGCGAACGGACGAGAAGCUUGCUUCUCUGAUGUUAGCGGCGGACGGGUGAGUAACACGUGGAUAACCUACCUAUAAGACUGGGAUAACUUCGGGAAACCGGAGCUAAUACCGGAUAAUAUUUUGAACCGCAUGGUUCAAAAGUGAAAGACGGUCUUGCUGUCACUUAUAGAUGGAUCCGCGCUGCAUUAGCUAGUUGGUAAGGUAACGGCUUACCAAGGCAACGAUGCAUAGCCGACCUGAGAGGGUGAUCGGCCACACUGGAAUUGAGACACGGUCCAGACUCCUACGGGAGGCAGCAGUGGGGAAUCUUCCGCAAUGGGCGAAAGCCUGACGGAGCAACGCCGCGUGAGUGAUGAAGGUCUUCGGAUCGUAAAACUCUGUUAUUAGGGAAGAACAUAUGUGUAAGUAACUGUGCACAUCUUGACGGUACCUAAUCAGAAAGCCACGGCUAACUACGUG
rnacentral:rRNA from 1 species